AUACUAUACUUGAAAGCGUGUAAAAAAUCUUACAAUAACAUGUAGGGCCUGUUUGGCCUAGCUUAUAAAAAGUGAUUUUUGAUAAAUUGAUUUUGAUUAAAAACUGUAGAGCGUUUGGCGGAAUUUAGAUAAAAGUGACUUUUCUGAAGUUAUUUUAAAAAACUGUUUGAAAAUUUUUUUUUGAUGUUUGCAUAAAUUAAUAUUUUUAUUAAAUUUUAUUUUAAAAUAAUUUAAAAUUUAAAUUUAAAUUUGAAUUAAAAUUAAAAUUUUUAAAUUUCAAAAUUU
rnacentral:lncRNA from 1 species